UACGGGGGGGGCAAGCGUUGUUCGGAAUUACUGGGCGUAAAGAGCGCGCAGGCGGUCGUUCAAGUCGAGUGUGAAAGCCCCCGGCUCAACUGGGGAGGGUCAUUCGAUACUGAUCGACUCGAAGGCAGGAGAGGGAAGUGGAAUUCCCGGUGUAGUGGUGGAAUGCGUAGAUAUCGGGAGGAACACCAGUGGCGAAGGCGGUUACCUGGAGCUUUGCUGACGCUGAUGCGCGAAAGCGUGGGGAGCGAUCCGG
rnacentral:rRNA from 1 species